UACGAAGGGGGCUAGCGUUGCUCGGAAUCACUGGGCGUAAAGCGCACGUAGGCGGAUUGUUAAGUCAGGGGUGAAAUCCUCCGGCUCAACCGGAGAACAGCCUUUGAUACCGCCAGUCUCGAGGGAGGUAGGGGCAUGUGGAACUUCCGGUGGAGCGGUGAAAUGCGUAGAUAUCGGAAGGAACGCCGGUGGCGAAAGCGACGUGCUGGACCUCUUCUGACGCUGAGGCGCGAAAGCUAGGGGAGCAAACGGG
rnacentral:rRNA from 1 species